rnacentral:RNase_P_RNA from 1 species
GGCCGUCCGCGAGACCUACGGAGACCUUGUGUCUCCGAGGAAACUCCGCCCUCGCCACGGCACCUGGCUCCGUAAGGAGAGCGGCUGAGAGCCGCUGGAUCGGCACAGAAAUGAACGGUCUGAGAGAGAUGUAGAUGAUGGAGCUGGUCUCCUGAUGAUCUCUCAGAUGCGGUGAGACAGCCGAUCCCCAGGAGAGCAAGGCCGAAUAGUGCCGAUGAAUGCCGUGGUGAGGCACAGGUAGGCCGCUUAGCCUAAUGUCCCUAAGACAGAAGGCGGGUUAUGCGAACGGCC